CCCUCCCCUUCCUCCUCCUCUUCCUCUUACUGCAUAGCCAUCAUCAUAGCCGUAGUAGGGAUCUUCAUAGCCUCCACGAUAGUCGUGAUAAUCAUAACCAUAGUAAUCAUCAUAGUAAUCUUCAUAGCCGUAGUAAUCUGGAGGGUAGCCAUAUCCACCUCUCCCCCCACCACGACCCCGACCUCUAAUUGGAGGUGGCAUGCGAGGAGGAGGGUGGUAGUAAUAAUCUUCAUACGCAGUGCUUCUGGAGGCCUGUCUAGCAGCUUGGCGCUCUUUCCUUUUCUUGUCUGGUGGCUUGGCUAAGACUAUUUCAAUUUCUUCCCCUUCUAUUUCUUUGCCAUUCAUUUCAUCCAUAGCCUUAACAGCUGCUCCUCUGUCUUCAAAAUGAACAAAUGCAUAAUCUUUCAACUUCUUUACUCUUUCGAGUUUUCCAAAUUCAGAAAAUGACUUUUCCAAUAUUUCUUCUGUCACCGUAGUAGCCAAGUUUCUCACAAACAAAACUUUUACCUUAGCCAUGACUUCUGGAUCUGGUUCUUCCACAGGGUCAGCCCAUUCAACUGUAACUACAUUUCCCCACACUUUUACUUUUCCACUCAUCAGCCGGCGUCUGGCUUGUGCUGCUGACUUGUGAUCCUCAUAUUCAAGGAAGCAGAACCCCCGAUUCUUCUUUUUGUCAUCGGGUUGAUGAUAGAGAAUAACGUCCACCAAACCCUCUGUGACUUUACUGAAUUCUUCCAAAAUGUUUUCUUUAGUCUUAUUCUUCGGAAUGGAUCCAACAAAAAGUCUGUUGUUUGCCACAGAAAUGCACACUCCAAGGUGUUUACCAGGGCGAAUUUCAUAGCUGUCACACAGUUUCACGGCUUCCUGUGCAG
rnacentral:lncRNA from 1 species